rnacentral:lncRNA from 1 species
GAACAUGUGCUGCAUCCAAUCUCACUGUAGACAACGAAAUUUCGGUAAAUAAAUCUUCACUAACGCAUUAAAGUUUCGACGUGCCAUGGCAUACAUAGGAUACGCCACAUGUCACACAAUUGUACACAUGGCAUGUGACUCAACAAAUUGGAAGAAAUACCCUUGGAGGAUUAAACAAGUUUUUCUCUUCUCAUUUUUGGGUAAUGACAAGGCAAGCACACUUCAAUCCAUUAUGGAUGAAAACAAGUUUUUCUUGUAAUUUUGGGCAAUCACAAGGUAAGCACAUUUCAAUCCAUUACGGAUCAAAACAAGUUUUUCUCAUUUGGGCAAUGACAAAGCAAGCACACUUCAAGUUUAAAAUGGUAUUAAGUGAAUUAGGCCAUAUGUUAGACCACUUCAAAUUCAAUAUUGCAUUAAGUGGGAAAUUAGGCCAUAUGAUAGACCACUUCAAUUUCAACAUUGCAUUAAGUGGGAAAAUUAGGUAAUGGUGCUUAAGUAGGAAAAUUUUGUGGUGGUGAUUCAUUCUCAAAGCCUAUAAAUAGAUUUCUCCAUCAAGGUAUCAAGGAUCCUAACUACAAACACCAAUUCACAUCACACAAACACCUUGAAGCUUUGAAACUCUAAAGCUCUCAAGCAAAUCCUGAAGGAUCAAGAUAGCCCUCUUCAUUCUUCGUUAAAUCCUCCUUCAAGAUCAAGCCCCAAUGGCCCUUGAAGAACUUCCACCAAUUCAAGAUCAAGCCUCGAUGACCCUUGAAGAACUUUCACCAAUUCAAGAUCAAGCCCCGACGGCCCUUGAAGAAAGUAUUCAUUGUCCAUCAUCCGUUCAUCCUAAGAUCAAGCCCCAAUGGCCCUUUG